rnacentral:sRNA from 12 species
GGCAGGGGCUUGCGCUCAGGCAUACAGUCUCUUCGGAAGAGCUCCCGGAGUCAGACCCUCCCUGCGGGCGGGGAACUGUAUCGGAUUUCGCGCAAUGAGCGAUCCACACGGCGCAAGUC